CGAACGGGUAGCACAGAGAGCUUGCUCUCGGGUGACGAGUGGCGGACGGGUGAGUAACGUCUGGGAAACUGCCCGAUGGAGGGGGAUAACUACUGGAAACGGUAGCUAAUACCGCAUAACGUCGCAAGACCAAAGUGGGGGACCUUCGGGCCUCACACCAUCGGAUGUGCCCAGAUGGGAUUAGCUAGUAGGUGGGGUAAUGGCUCACCUAGGCGACGAUCCCUAGCUGGUCUGAGAGGAUGACCAGCCACACUGGAACUGAGACACGGUCCAGACUCCUACGGGAGGCAGCAGUGGGGAAUAUUGCACAAUGGGCGCAAGCCUGAUGCAGCCAUGCCGCGUGUAUGAAGAAGGCCUUCGGGUUGUAAAGUACUUUCAGCGGGGAGGAAGGCGGUGAAGUUAAUAGCUUCACCGAUUGACGUUACCCGCAGAAGAAGCACCGGCUAACUCCGUGCCAGCAGCCGCGGUAAUACGGAGGGUGCAAGCGUUAAUCGGAAUUACUGGGCGUAAAGCGCACGCAGGCGGUCUGUCAAGUCGGAUGUGAAAUCCCCGGGCUUAACCUGGGAACUGCAUUCGAAACUGGCAGGCUAGAGUCUUGUAGAGGGGGGUAGAAUUCCAGGUGUAGCGGUGAAAUGCGUAGAGAUCUGGAGGAAUACCGGUGGCGAAGGCGGCCCCCUGGACAAAGACUGACGCUCAGGUGCGAAAGCGUGGGGAGCAACAGUAAA
rnacentral:rRNA from 1 species